AAGUCGUAACAAGGUUUCCGUAGGUGAACCUGCGGAAGGAUCAUUAGUGAAUAAACUUGUGUGGGUUGUUGCUGGCCUCCUUGGAGGUAUGUGCACGCCUGCCAUUGUUUCAUUUCCCCUUCCACCUGUGCACUUUUGUAGACCAGCCGUCACUUUUCAGGUUGCUUGCAUCCUGGUUAUGAGGAUUUGCUCUGGCUGUCCUUGGUUGUCAGCAGUCUAUGUCUUUUAUCAACUCUGUAUGUAACCGAAUGUUUGUUCUGGGUUCUAUACCCAUAAAAUCUAUACAACUUUCAACAACGGAUCUCUUGGCUCUC
rnacentral:misc_RNA from 1 species